UUCCUGAUGUUGAGUCGGAAUCUCCUUUCUUGUAACUUGAAGCCACUGGUUCGAGUCCUACCCUCUGAAGCAGGAGAAAACAAGCUUGCUCCAUUUCCCAGAUAUUUGAAGGUGGCGAUCAUAUCUCCUCUCAGUCUCCACUUCUCCAUGCUAAACACACCCAGCUCCCUCAA